CACUGGCCUUUCACCUUGCUUCCUUGAGCUUAUAGCAAAGAUAUCUCUAAUGAGACAGAUAAGGGUAUUUUUUUUUAUAUAUAUAUACUCAUACAUUAAGGGUUGAUAAGUAUGUAGGGGUGUAUAUAAAAAAAAAUACCACUCUUUGUCUCAUUAGAGAUAUCUUUGCCAGAAGUUCAGUGAAGCAGGGUGAAAGGUCAGUGU